CGGGCUCAGAGCAGGCUCAGAGCAGGUUCAGAGUGGGCUCAGGGUGGGCUCAGAGUGGGCUCAGAGCAGGCACAGAGCGCUCAGAGUGGGCU
rnacentral:pre_miRNA from 1 species